AUGAUCGGGAUAACAGUUGGAAACGGCUGCCUAAUACCGGAUACGCUCAAAAUGAACUUUUUUGAGGAAAGAUGGCCUCUGCUUGCAUGCUAUCACGUAAGGAUGAGUCCGCGUCCCAUUAGCUUGUGGCGGGGUAACGCCCACAAGGCAACGAUGGGUAGCCGAUUUGAGAGGAUGAUCGGCCACACUGGAACUGAAACACGGUCCAGACUCCUACGGGAGGCAGCAGUGGGGAAUAUUGCGCAAUGGGCGAAAGCCUGACGCAGCGACGCCGCGUGAAGGGGAUGAAGGUUUUCGGAUCGUAAACCUCUGUCAGAAGGGAAGAAACUACGUUGUGCUAAUCAGCAGCGUACUGACGGUACCUUCAAAGGAAGCACCGGCUAACUCCGUGCCAGCAGCCGC
rnacentral:rRNA from 1 species